GCAGCAGUGAAAACACCCACGUCUCAUAUCAGAGUGCCUGGGUUUGCAUCCUGGCUCCACUCCCAAUUCCAGUUUCCUUCUGAUGUACUCCAAGGGAAGCAGCAGAACCAGAGUUGUGGCAUAGUGGGUAAAGCUGCUGCCUUCCGUGCCAGCAUUCCAUAUGGAUACCAGUUCAAGACCUGGCUGCUACACUUCCAAUCCAGCUCCUUGCUGAUGUACUUGAGAAAGCAGCAGAGGAUGGCCCAAGUGCUUGGGCCCCUGCACCCAUGUGAGAGACCUGGAUAAAGCUUCUAGCUCCUGGCUUCGACCUGACCCAGCCCUGGCCAUUACAACCAUUUGGAAAACUGUUCUGAAGUUUUCAAAACCAGUCAUCACCUGCUGCCUCCCCGGGUGUGCUGUUAAAUGACUGUGGAAACGUGAUCCACAGCUCCAUAACUUCAGUUGAGUGCUGUAUUUGCCUGACAGUAUUGUUUUCCUGUUUGACUAUGUGCAGAGCCAAAUCUACAGCUUAUUUUUUUAUUUUAUUUUUAUUUUUAUU